UUUGGUUAAGUUAGAAAGGGCGCACGGUGGAUGCCUUGACACUAGGAGUCGAUGAAGGACGGGACUAACGCCGAUAUGCUUCGGGGAGCUGUAAGUAAGCUUUGAUCCGAAGAUUUCCGAAUGGGGAAACCCACCAUACGUAAUGGUAUGGUAUCCUUAUCUGAAUACAUAGGGUAAGGAAGACAGACCCAGGGAACUGAAACAUCUAAGUACCUGGAGGAAGAGAAAGCAAAUGCGAUUUCCUGAGUAGCGGCGAGCGAAACGGAACAUAGCCCAAACCAAGAGGCUUGCCUCUUGGGGUUGUAGGACAUUCUAUACGGAGUUACAAAGGAACGAGGUAGACGAAGCGACCUGGAAAGGUCCGUCGUAGAGGGUAACAACCCCGUAGUCGAAACUUCGUUCUCUCUUGAAUGUAUCCUGAGUACGGCGGAACACGUGAAAUUCCGUCGGAAUCUGGGAGGACCAUCUCCCAAGGCUAAAUACUCCCUAGUGAUCGAUAGUGAACCAGUACCGUGAGGGAAAGGUGAAAAGCACCCCGGAAGGGGAGUGAAAGAGAUCCUGAAACCGUGUGCCUACAAAUAGUCAGAGCCCGUUAACGGGUGAUGGCGUGCCUUUUGUAGAAUGAACCGGCGAGUUACGAUCCCGUGCGAGGUUAAGCUGAAGAGGCGGAGCCGCAGCGAAAGCGAGUCUGAAUAGGGCGUUUAGUACGUGGUCGUAGACCCGAAACCCAGGUGAUCUACCCAUGUCCAGGGUGAAGUUCAGGUAACACUGAAUGGAGGCCCGAACCCACGCACGUUGAAAAGUGCGGGGAUGAGGUGUGGGUAGCGGAGAAAUUCCAAUCGAACCUGGAGAUAGCUGGUUCUCCCCGAAAUAGCUUUAGGGCUAGCCUUAAGUGUAAGAGUCUUGGAGGUAGAGCACUGAUUGGACUAGGGGUCCUCAUCGGAUUACCGAAUUCAGUCAAACUCCGAAUGCCAAUGACUUAUCCUUAGGAGUCAGACUGCGAGUGAUAAGAUCCGUAGUCAAAAGGGAAACAGCCCAGACCGCCAGCUAAGGUCCCAAAGUGUGUAUUAAGUGGAAAAGGAUGUGGAGUUGCUUAGACAACUAGGAUGUUGGCUUAGAAGCAGCCACCAUUUAAAGAGUGCGUAAUAGCUCACUAGUCGAGUGACUCUGCGCCGAAAAUGUACCGGGGCUAAAUACACCACCGAAGCUGCGGAUUGAUACCAAUGGUAUCAGUGGUAGGGGAGCGUUCUAAGGACAGUGAAGUCAGACCGGAAGGACUGGUGGAGUGCUUAGAAGUGAGAAUGCCGGUAUGAGUAGCGAAAGACGGGUGAGAAUCCCGUCCACCGAAUGCCUAAGGUUUCCUGAGGAAGGCUCGUCCGCUCAGGGUUAGUCAGGACCUAAGCCGAGGCCGACAGGCGUAGGCGAUGGACAACAGGUUGAUAUUCCUGUACCACCUCUUUAUCGUUUGAGCAAUGGAGGGACGCAGAAGGAUAGAAGAAGCGUGCGAUUGGUUGUGCACGUCCAAGCAGUUAGGCUGAUAAGUAGGCAAAUCCGCUUAUCGUGAAGGCUGAGCUGUGAUGGGGAAGCUCCUUAUGGAGCGAAGUCUUUGAUUCCCCGCUGCCAAGAAAAGCUUCUAGCGAGAUAAAAGGUGCCUGUACCGCAAACCGACACAGGUAGGCGAGGAGAGAAUCCUAAGGUGUGCGAGAGAACUCUGGUUAAGGAACUCGGCAAAAUGACCCCGUAACUUCGGGAGAAGGGGUGCUUUCUUAACGGAAAGCCGCAGUGAAUAGGCCCAAGCGACUGUUUAGCAAAAACACAGCUCUCUGCGAAGCCGUAAGGCGAAGUAUAGGGGGUGACACCUGCCCGGUGCUGGAAGGUUAAGGAGAGGGGUUAGCGUAAGCGAAGCUCUGAACUGAAGCCCCAGUAAACGGCGGCCGUAACUAUAACGGUCCUAAGGUAGCGAAAUUCCUUGUCGGGUAAGUUCCGACCCGCACGAAAGGUGUAACGAUUUGGGCACUGUCUCAACCAGAGACUCGGUGAAAUUAUAGUACCUGUGAAGAUGCAGGUUACCCGCGACAGGACGGAAAGACCCCGUGGAGCUUUACUGUAGCCUGAUAUUGAAUUUUGGUACAGUUUGUACAGGAUAGGCGGGAGCCAUUGAAACCGGAGCGCUAGCUUCGGUGGAGGCGCUGGUGGGAUACCGCCCUGACUGUAUUGAAAUUCUAACCUACGGGUCUUAUCGACCCGGGAGACAGUGUCAGGUGGGCAGUUUGACUGGGGCGGUCGCCUCCUAAAGUGUAACGGAGGCGCCCAAAGGUUCCCUCAGAAUGGUUGGAAAUCAUUCGUAGAGUGCAAAGGCAUAAGGGAGCUUGACUGCGAGACCUACAAGUCGAGCAGGGACGAAAGUCGGGCUUAGUGAUCCGGUGGUUCCGCAUGGAAGGGCCAUCGCUCAACGGAUAAAAGCUACCCCGGGGAUAACAGGCUUAUCUCCCCCAAGAGUCCACAUCGACGGGGAGGUUUGGCACCUCGAUGUCGGCUCAUCGCAUCCUGGGGCUGUAGUCGGUCCCAAGGGUUGGGCUGUUCGCCCAUUAAAGCGGUACGCGAGCUGGGUUCAGAACGUCGUGAGACAGUUCGGUCCCUAUCCGUCGUGGGCGUAGGAAAUUUGAGAGGAGCUGUCCUUAGUACGAGAGGACCGGGAUGGACGCACCGCUGGUGUACCAGUUGUUCUGUCAAGGGCAUAGCUGGGUAGCUAUGUGCGGAAGGGAUAAGUGCUGAAAGCAUCUAAGCAUGAAGCCCCCCUCAAGAUGAGAUUUCCCAUAGCGUAAGCUAGUAAGAUCCCUGAAAGAUGAUCAGGUUGAUAGGUUCGAGGUGGAAGCAUGGUGACAUGUGGAGCUGACGAAUACUAAUAGAUCGAGGACUUAACCAUAUAA
rnacentral:rRNA from 1 species